GGUCAAUGAUGGUAUGGCAUGUAUUAGCUGAAUUUAAACUUGAUGUAAGUUUAAAAGUUAUUCUGAGACCUU